rnacentral:rRNA from 1 species
UUUCCAGUCACACCAUCCAGAAUGCACCCGAUCUCCUAAGCAAAGCAGGGUUAAGCCUGGCUAGUACUUGGAUGGAGUAAUCCACAAAAGAAAGAAGGGAGAGUCAGUUACAGAGAGAU